CCUACGGGAGGCAGCAGUGAGGAAUAUUGGUCAAUGGACGGAAGUCUGAACCAGCCAUGCCGCGUGCAGGAAGACGGCCCUAUGAGUUGUAAACUUCUUUUGUACAGGGGUAAACCUUUAUACGUGUAUUCUUCUGUAUGUACUUUACGAAUAAGGAUCGGCUAACUCCGUGCCAGCAGCCGCGGUAAUACGGAGGAUCCGAGCGUUAUCCGGAUUUAUUGGGUUUAAAGGGAGCGUAGGUGGAUUGAUAAGUUAGAUGUGAAAUGUCCGGGCUUAACUGGGGAAUUGCCACUAAUACUGGUGGUCUAGAGAACAGAUGCGGUAGGCGGAAUGUAUGGUGUAGCGGUGAAAUGCUUAGAGAUCAGACAGAACACCGAUUGCGAAGGCAGCAUACCGGGUUACGACUGACGUUGAGGCACGAAAGCGUGGGGAGCAAACAGGAUUAGAUACCCCUGUAGUC
rnacentral:rRNA from 1 species